AACAGAGAGAGACAGAGCAUGAACAGGGGAGGGUCAGAGAGAGGGAGACACAGAAUCUGAAACAGGCUCCAGGCUCUGAGCCGUCAGCACAGAGCCCGACGUGGGGCUCGAACCCACGGACCACGAGAUCAUGACCUGAGCCGAAGUCGGCCGCUUAACCGACUGAGCCACCCAGGUGCCCCAAGAGUUCCCUUUUUAUCUACAUUCUCACCAGCACUUGUUAUUUCUUCCCUUUUUAAUAAUAGCAAUUCUAAUACAUGUGAGGUAAUACAAUCAUUUUGUCAAGUUUCAUGGAAAAUCCUGUGUGGAUUUUGCUUAGAAAUGUAUUGAAUCUACCCUUGAAUUUAAAGGAAAUUGACAUCUUAUUAUUAUCAAAUCUUACUAUGUCUAUGAACAUGGUAUGCCUCUCCAUUUAUUUAGAUUUUAUCUUUCGAAAAGUUGAAUUAUUUUUCACCCAGGUCUUCAACAUCUUUUUUGAAACCACUUUUAUAAAUCGCGUUUUUAAAAGUAUAUUUUUAACUGUGUGUUUCUGAUAGAGAAAUACAGUCAGUUCUUGUAUAAUGAUCUUAUUAUAUCCAGCUAUUGUUACAUAUUUUCAGCCAGUGGUUUGUAAAUUUUUUUUUUUUAUUACUGUGCAGCUAAUCAUAUCAAAUGCAAGCAGUAGCAUUUUCAUUUCUGCUCUUCCAAUCUUACGCUUUUAUUUCCUUGCACUUCUCACUUCAUUGGCUAGUGCCUUCAAUUCAGUAUUGAAUUAACCUGUGAAGGUAGGCAUCCUUGACUUUUUCCCCUUGGUUUCCUAUUUAUUUUUUAUUCGUGAACAAGACUGAAUUAAUGCCUUACUGUUUAAUACUACAUUUGCUGAUCACAUUUUCAUCAGAGAAAAUGUAAGACCUUACCUUGUUUUGUUAACUUUUCUCCAAUUUUUAUGACUAUGUUUUCUCUGUGUUACCAAUAACCAAAGCCUCAAACUCUCCUGGAAAAUUACUUUAUGUCAAGUGAUAUACUAUAAAUUAUUGAGUGAGUGGUGCUUUUAAAAAUGUAGUCACCUAAAAUUUCAAACUAAGAGGAUCAUUUGUAUGAACUAAGCAUUUUGGAUACUUAAGUGGAGACAAGUACCAUAGUUUGUGUUGACUUGAGAUUCCUUGAUAAGGUGGUGUGUACAUCAUCCUCUUAAAUUUUGAUUUGAACUGUGGAAUCAAUCCUUCAGUAGCAUUUUUCACAAUUUAAAAUGCCUGGUUUGAAUGGCUCACUUUUUUUCCCUUUGCUCAUGCAAUUUUUGUUAAGACUUGAACAGAUUCCUCCUAAUCCUGUGAGCAGCCUGCAGGAAGACAACUAUUAAAAGUAGAAAGCUAUUAAGCAGUCAGGGGUUUAUUAUGCUUUAGUGUUUUGUUUAAGUCUGUUCUUAAUUGGUUGAUUAAUGUAUGUGAAGUCCUUUCCCCCCUCCAUCUCUACAGAUGGCAAAUGGUAGGUCCCAACUGUCAUUGUUCCGAAAAAAGGUUAUGGUUCAAAGUCAAAGAUUCCGAGAUACCACAAUAAUCAAUCAUAGGAACUUGUCUCAGAGUGCCCAGCCAGGCAAAAGUUAGGGAGAGUAGUAUUUACUUGGAAUCCCUUAGGGGCAUCUUUUUUUUUUCUUUUGGUGUGUUCUUGAUUUUAUUUAGAAAAGAUUAUUUAAUUAAUAGAAAUGCCUCUGUGAAUUUAGUGUCAGGCAUUUAGAUAAGUAUGAAGAAGAUUGGUAAAUAAGUUUUCUGUUUAUUGAUUAUCAAAUAUUGCUGGAAUUGAGGCAUGCAGUUUUAAAAUGGGUGUAACAGAGAAAGUAACAUUCUUACUAUAUUGAGAUUAACAGAACACUUUUAAAGGAACACCUUUUUACCAUUUUCAUGUGAAGAUGAUUUAUAAUGGUUAACUUCCUUUUUUUAGGAGGAAGAAUAGAAUUAUGUUCUGGUAUUGAUCCAUAAAGAGGAUUUGCAUUUUAUUCAUACUAUAAAAGUACCUUUAAUGGAUACAUUGUGGUAAUUGAAUCUAUACUGUGUAUCACUAUCAAAGUAUCUUUUUAAUUAUUUUAUGUUGCAUAAUUCAGUAACUAAAUUUAAGUCAUGGGGAAGGAGAUGACUAUAUUAUAUCUUCUAAGUAUAAUGUAUAGCCUUUAAUAUUCUUAAAGUGGACAGCAGUUAAGGACAUUUUUAGUUGAAUGCCAGAGAGAGAGAGAGAGAAAGAGAGAGAGAAAGAAAGAGAGAGAGGAGAUUCCAUUACAUUCAGCACAGUAUGAAACUAAGUCAAAGGAGUUUUGUUAAUUAAAUUCAAUUGCCAUCCAUUAGACCGGUGGAAUGAGUUUACUCUGCCAGGACGCUGACACAGCACAAGUAUGCAAUUUGGCUAAAUGGCCAUUUCUAAACCAUAGCGCACAUUUCUCCACUUGCUCACUUUUUUUUUUUUUUAAGUGAGAGGUUUUACUCUUGAAAAGUCAGAGAGUAACCAGUGCUUGCUGAAGGGUAAAGGUAUCAUUUUUAUGCAGUUUGUUGAGAAACAAUUAGCUUUUUGUCUUGGAGAUGUGUAGUUCACAUGGAGAGUUUGGGAGAAAAUGAUUCUUUAAAAAAGUAUGCCAUACCUGUAGGCGAGCAUAUUUUCAAACUGUACACGCACGUGUCAUGGAGACACAUGUGUGUUUUAAAAUUUAGUUGUCUUUUAAUCGAAAGCUUUUUAAAAGUCAUAAUUAUUCCUUGAAUUUUUAAAAGCAUCCUUGAAGUCGAACUACAAUCUGAAUAUAUAUUUGGGGGAAGUUAUAAUAAUUGUGGGAAUUAUAAAAAUGAAAUUUAGGUGGUGGGUAUGUACAUCUACAUUUUGGCAUAAAUCGCUGCUUUUAGAGGCUUUAUAUGUCAGACUGAUAAGUUUCUUACCAUGGUGAAAUGACAGGAAUACCACUCAGGCAUUGGCUGACACAUAAUUUUGACAGCCAGCAAGAUUGCAGUGUUGCUGAGUGCACAGAUUUCCACUUCCUGCCAAGAUUAAAAUUGGCAAAAACCAAAAAGGAUAUUAGGGAUUGUCACUUUAAGAAGAAAUAACAUGUUAAUGCUCUGCAUUUGCUCAAGAAAUACAAGGUUGAUCUCUUGAGCUGUAGUCUGUUGAAAUCUACAAGUUUGCAAUCAAUAGAAGAGUUUUAUUCAUGUGCACAUCAAAAAUUAAAUAAAGUAAAUCGAGGUUCCCUGACAUUUGUGAUAAUAAGGCUCAUUAUAGUUCUACUUAAUAGGACAUUAUUAUUUCUGUAUAAAGAGAAUUCCUCACCCAAGCUAUAAAAUAGGUUGCCCAACAGCUCCCAAAGAACAAAGGCCUACUUUAAGUUUAUGAAUCAGAAGACAGAAGGCCUUACUUCCUGAAUUUUCUUAUUUUUUCCUGUGUGAGCAGAUGGUUUUUCUUUUUAUACGUUGCCAGAACUUUCCUAUAACAAUAACUGUCGUUUAUUGAGAAACUACUAUGUUCUGGGUUCUGUACCCGGGCACUCAAACCUCAGACUUUUUUUUUUUUUUUCUUAUUUAGUUUUUGUUUAAAUCUAGACAGAAAAAUGAGGAAAAAUCUAGACAGAAAAAUGUUGUGAAAGAGUCAGGCUCUGAAUUAUGCUUCUACUUUGCUAUUUACAGUAAGUACUUUUGAAACAGCUGUAGACGUUCAAAUGAAAGUAGCAAUGUGGAGUGGGAAAUGUGGGGGCAUUCAUUUGUGAAGACUUUGCAUUUCUCCAGCUUUAGAGCCAACAGAAAAGGAGAUUGUUGUGCAUUCUAUUAAAUACUGCCAGUAUGAUUAAUUUAAAGGGUUACAUUUUAUUGAACCCUGGUGUAGAUGUUCUUUGUCAACCCACAUUCACAGCUAGUUAGAGUGUGUGUAGCAUUUAUCAAAACUUUCUGGAGCCCCUCUCACCUCAUUAGCAUCUGAAUCUCUAUUCAGCAGUUAAUGUCCGUUACUGCUAGAGUGCUCAAUUCUUGUUUUCAAUAAGCCAGUUGUAAAAUGUCAGACUGUCACUUACAAUAUAAAAAACCAAAAAUGAUGGUAUUUGUAAAAAUGUUAUCACCUCAUAAAAACAAAUUGUAAAGACAUGAAAGUGAUCUUGCUAUACUGGGCUUUCAGAAGGGGGUUAGUACAGCUACUUUAAAUACCAGUUGUGUAGAUUCCCACACUUUUCUACCAAUGGAGAGGUUUACACAAGCAUAAUUUAAGUUACAAUCACACUAAUUAACAUCUCAUUUGCAUAAAUUGUUGAAGUCAAAACAACAAAGAAUUGUCUAAGAAGCCUAAUCCUAUUUGUCCAAAAUAGAAAGAUUUAAAAAAAAAAAAAAAAAACCCAUGCUCUAAAAAUUGGCAGCUUGAGUAUGUCUUUAGUAUGUUGAGCUGUGCCAUUUAAAAAAAUAAAUGCUUUCUAUUUGCUUAAGAAUGUAUUUCUCUGUCCUUUUUAGAGUCUUCCAUAUUUAAUACACUUUUAAAAUGAAAAAGCUAUACUUUGCUUUCUAAAUCAGUAAUAAGUAGAGAUUAAAAUCAAGGUACAGUACCAUUUACCUGUGGUAGAGAGUAACAUGACUCGUUAGAUGCAUGGUGAAGCAUAUGUGUGUGUACACGUGUGUGUGUGUGUGUGCCGUGUGUGUGUGUGCCGUGUGUAGGAAUUGGUAAAGUGUUCCUGUCUGAAUCCAUGUUCAGUUAAAAUUUUUUAGUGUAGGCUGGUCUCAUUCAGAGCGUCCAGCUGUUUUCAACGUCUUGUAUUUUCCUUUUUGUUGUUGUGAAUGAGGACACGUUAAAGGUAGUUUUUACCCAUGUCUUCUACAUGUGUGAUAGCUCACAUCUCAGGUCAGAAAACUUUCUUUUUAGUGGCCACCCAAAUGCAGUUAGCCGCCUCGAGGGUGACUUAGUACGGUACACCGUCUUCUUCUUCUCUAAGACCCAUUUAAAAUUAGGGACAUGUUUGCAUACAGUGGACUAAUGAAGUUUUCAUACUGCCCCACAAGACUCUGCUCUCCUUUGUAGGUCUGACAUUUACUCAUUUCAUAUGCAGUUAUUGUUACUAGUGAGUUUGCUUUAACGACAUUGUGCAUCUAUGGAAAUAAAAUGUCACCAGCAGAGUUUAGGAUUUUUUAUUGUUAAUUUUUGUAGUCAUUUGGGGUUGAGGAAUUUAAAUUAUCCUGCUUGGUUAGUAUUUCCAAUGUGAAAUACUUGGUUAGUAUUUCCAAGCCCUGAAAUUGUGACAAGGUUAGGAAUAUGAUUAGAAUGAAAGUUUUACUUGAAGAUUGUCAGUCUGGAAAGCAUUUUAUUUGUUCGUAAUAUAGAGCAUAUCUUAAUUUAAUUGUGAUAGUCUUUAAAUCUGUUCUUUAAUUUGAUCUUAAAAUGUAAAGUUUACAAAUUACUGUCUUAGAAAUAGUGAAUUUACAAAUACGUAUUGUCAACUGCAUGUGAGCCAUUAUGCUAGGUUUGGUGAAGGAUGUAAUCUUACACAGUGUCGCCUUGCUUGUAUGAAACAUACAUUUUUCUUGGGCAUAUAAAAAUAAGUACGGGUGAGAACACGUUUUGUGGAAAUUCAGGAGAGAAUUUGUGAAGUAUUGGGACAGUCUAGAAAGCUUUCGGAUAAAAUGAAAUUUGAGUUAUGGAUUGAAGGAUUGUUUGGAUUUUUAGUGGGUGAGGAGGGGUGCUGCUAGAGACUAGUAGAAGGCCUGGAGAGCAGGGGCGAGGCAUGAGGGAAGCUGUGGAAGCAGGAAUAUGCAGUUUUGCCCCAGGUGGGGUCAGCUGAGACAUUUGGUUAGGAGACGGUUUCCUGUAGGGCAGGACAUUGAGUGCCAGUUGAAAGAUUUAGACAAUAGAAAGUCAGGUAGGGUUUCUGAACAGGAGCAUAACGUGUUUCAGGAAGUGUUUUGGCAAGAGUAAUCAUGAAGCUGAAAUGCAGGGAGCCUUGUAAAAGACGACAGAGUAGAGUUAGGGGCAGUGAGUGAUAGAUCUUGUAGGUGUGUUGGCACAAGAUUAAAAAUAAUAGUGAUUUUCAUUUCAUAUGCCCUGAGCAAUAUAAUAAGCUAAAUACAUGAAAUGAAAGUGUGCUUUUGAAAAGUAGUUAGUGAUUUCUGAUUCUAAGUGGUGUUUAAAACCUUUUAAAAGAUAUAUUUCCAUAAAAUAAAUUUUAUUUCUUUUAAUUUUUAAUAGUGAUUAAUUCUGUGAUUUAGAAAGGUGUGUGUACAAAAAAAGAGAACAUUAUUUCCUUUCACCUUUCAGAGGAAAUUGAUUUCCAGAUUAUUUUCCCAUGUAUUUUUUUAAAAGUUGACUUUUAAAAGAACACAUUCCUGUUUCUUUUGAGUAUGGCCAGAUUACUUCAUUGCCAAUAUUUGAUCUUUAUUGGUAGGUGAGGGCAUGUCAGAGCUACUCAGGAGAACGUUCUGGACCUUUCUUCUUAUCUUUUAAAGGCUUAUAUUUGAUAAGGUUGGACAUGGUGUGUACAUGGUGACUUUUAUCAUUCUUCUUGUCGCUUUUCUAUGUUUACUUCAUUCAUAGUAUGUAAUCUGAGAGUGCCUUCAGGAGACUAGGAAAGAUCUGGCCACAGACACCACAUUUUGGGUAUUUUAACAUAUUCAGGAGAAAAUUGGGUGUUGUAUUCAGACAGGAAGGUAGAUUGGCAUAGAUAGAAGUGCUUAUUUUCAAUAUUCAAGGAAUACGUACUAAUCCUCUACUGGAAAUAUGGUAACAUGGCAUGUUGAUGGAGAAACAUAAAAUCAAGAAGCUGUCCUUCCCUUCCAGAUGCUCAUUGGUUGGUAGGAGAAGAGGCAAAACAUGUGAAGUGGUAUGCUUUUUUCUUUUUUUUUAAAUUUUUAAAAUGUUUAUUUAUUUUUGAGAGACAGAGAGAGAGAGAGAGUGUGAGUGGGGGAGGGACAGAGAGAGAGAGAGAAAGACUCAGAAUCUGAAGAGGCUCCAGGCUCUGAGCCGUCAGCACAGAGCCCGACGCGGGGCUCGAACCACAAACUGCGAGAUCAUGACCUGAGCCGAAGUUGGAUGCUUAACUGACUGAGCCACCCAGGUGCCCCUGGUAUGUUUUAUAGUAGAAUUCAAGGGACCCACAUGACUCAAGAGAGGACAGUAUUGAUUCUGAGUUGUGGAGAAAGAGAAAUACUUCUGUGAAGGAGAUGACAUCAAAGCAGGGUCUUGGAGGUUGGCAGGAAAAUGAAGGGACCGAGCACGCAGAUGGGGGUUUAUGGCGUGUGUUCUGUAAAUGCCACAUGGCUCAGAUGAAGCACAGAGCAUGCAGUGUAUAUGAUGUCUUCACGUCUGCCCUUAUUUGUUCAGCAAACACCCGUCGCUUACCUUGUGCCAACCAUUGAGCUAGGCUACCUGUAAGGAACCCACCAGCUUCUUCAUGGACAGAGUUGAAAGGGUUUGUCCAGUUGCCUUUGCCCCUGAGAGAGAGAAGGUCCACAUUUGGUACCUUUGGCAUAGUAUCCCUUGGCAUAUUUAAAGUUUGGUUCAAGAGCAUAUUGAAAAUUUCACAUUCCUGGGGCACCUGGGUGGCUCAGGUGGAUAAGCAUCCGACUUCGGCUCAGGUCAUGAUCUCAUGCUCUGUGAGUUUGAACCCUGUGUCGGGCUCUGUGCUGACAGCUCAGAGCCUGGAGACUGCUUUGGAUUCUGGGUCCCCCUCUCUCUCUGCCCCUCCCCUGCUCACACUUGGUUUCUCUCUCUCUCUCAAAAAUAAAUAAACGUUAAAAAAUAAAUAAAUUUUCACAUUCCCUUCACUAAAGCAUGAAACUUUCAAACCUAUAAAAAGAUGGUGAAGAGCAUGUUCUCCCUGCUCCUUUCCUUUCUUCACUUGCAGCUGGAUUGUUCCUCCUUCCCUCCAAGGGUGAUCUGUGGAGUAUCUGUUUGUCCUUCCUUUAGUGUGAGGAAUCCCCUUCUUUUUCCCCCAAGAGAGUUUGGGUCUGAUGCUGAUUUUUUCUCAUUCUGGGACUGCCCAGUUAUAACAGAGUUCAGUGGUAUAAAUGUGAGGCCCAAAUUAGAGAUCCCAGAAUAAAGUCGGAGAAGAAUUCUUCAGUUAUUGAUAGAAUUGUCUUAUGGAUUUGAGCAAAGUCUUGUAUAUGGUGAAAAUGAGACCCUGAGUUAAUUAAAAUAACUUCACAGUACAUAUCUGUCCCUCCCAGUGCUGCUAUAAAUAAUUGCAAAGGUAAGGAUUCUUAGUAACUGCAAAUAUGCAGAAAACAUGGAUAUUAGAAAGUUUCGAUGACCUUAAUGAAGAAACAAACUUGGCUCUGGAUCUUUGCCUAGCAGGAAUGAAGUUUUUUGAAUAUGAUAAACACUGUCAGUUGUUAAGGCAUCUUCUGAUAGGUGAAAAGUGGUUUUUCAAUGCAGUGCUGCCUGGCAUGCGUCUUCUCUAUGGUCUAUUAUCUUGUGGGAAUGACAUUCGUUAAGUUGGUAUCUGUGUGCAUCCCACCCAAAUAAAGAAUGUUUCAUCAGCAAAGUGAAUUGCCAUAUAGUCAUCAGACUCUAGAAAUAAAUUAUCAACCAUGACUGCAGUGGGUGAGGCUGUUUGUUUAUCAGAUCACUUGAGAACAGAGUAAAGUGAGUUUCAUAUUUUCCUGAGUCUUGAAUUCUCAUUUUAGACAUCUGUUCAGAAGCUUUCUAAGCCAUGGAGUAUUCUAAAUGAGCAUUUUGUUAAAUGGAUGGAGGAAGACUUAGUUUUCCAUUGUUAGGUGAAACCUAAUUAAAAAUUAAAUAAUGACCUUGUGUUGGCUUGUAAAUUUCUUAUUCCCUGCAUGUGUGAGUGUAUUUUGUUAGAACAUUCCAUUUUAAAGCAUGCUUUUUUUUUUUUUUUUUUUAAUGAUGAGAAAUACUUGAAAACUACCAUUUCCUUUUGGAAUUACAGUCGAGUAUCAGAGGAUAGUCUAUAGUUGAGAGUGGAGGGGUUUAGAAGGUGUUAGAAGCAUAUAGCUUUAUGAACCAUAUUUUCUGUGGAUAUAGCAGAAUUAGUUUAAUUGUUCUGUUUCACUCUCUCCAGCAUGAGUGCACUCAUCAUGGAAAUUAACAGAGGCACUGCUAUUUGUGUUAUAUCAGGAAUUCUUUAUAAACUUAAUAAAUGAAAGCUUUUUUCUUACAGGCCCGAUUCACUAGUGGAGUUCUGCUGAAAUAAUGUGGCUACCUUCCAUUAAUGUUAAUGGAGGUUAUGGAUAUAAUUCCCUCCAUAGUGAUGGAAGAACGAGCCCUAGAGAAAAGAAUGUUUGUAAUGAAUCACUGGGUUAUGACACAGGAUUCACUUGGUCUCCCUAAUACUAUUUUUUUUUCCUCCUGAAAGUUUAAGGUCUUAUAUUUAGUAACUAGUCUUUCUCUACCCUAAUUCUUUGUGGUCAAGUCUGUAAUAAUGUUAAGAACAUAGAAAAGCAAUAUGGAUUCAUGUGUAGGCAUGGUUUGGGGUUAUGUAAUGAUUCAGCACUACAUAGUUUUGUGUUUUCCUUUUACUUAAUAUUAUUUGGUGGACAUAACUUUAAUGUUUUAAGAGAUCAUCAUAUUUUUCACUAAUAAUAGUUGCUUUAAUAAUUUAUUGUCCUGACAGACUGCAGUUUAUCAGUUAAGUAUUAAAUCUCUCAAAUAUAUUUAUUAAAUACCUACUGUGUAUAAGGUUCUAAGUUUAAUGCGUUUGACACAAUCCCUAUCUCAAAUUGCCUUUCAUCUUGUGAUAUAAGUAGAACCCAGUCUUUAGGCUUUUUCUUGUGGGCCAAGAUCAAGUGCGAAGAAUUUGGUGGGAGAUGGGUGUGUGUGUGUGUGUAUGUGUGUGUGUGUGUGUGUGUGUGUGUGUGUCUUUCUGUCUGUCUCACAGGGACUGAAGAAAGGAAGGCCGUUGUGGUUGGUGGUGUGUUGGAGAGACUGGUCUAAAGAGAGAUAACUGAGUUCCUCCAGGGAGGAAACACAAGAUCUUACCACAAGAUCACAUAGCAAGUCAGUGGGGGUGAAGGUAGCGUUUGACUCCAGACUAUGCUGGUAGACUAUCACGUGAUUCAGGCACCAGAGCAUGAACGCCAAAGACUAGUGGAAGAAAUAAUUUCUAUAGGCAUCCAAACACUUUGAUCUAGAGGAAAUUUCAGGACUCUCUGAGAAAGUGUAUAGCAUAUGAAAGAUACUAUAGGUAUUUUCUUCCUAUAAUAUAAGCAGAAAAUUAUUCAGGCUCAUUUUCAGAUAAAUUGUGAUCUUGAGUUGAAAGACAUAAUGUACCUAAACCCUUUUUUACUGGAUGAUCUUUUCCCAUGAAAUUUCAAAUAUUUAUGCAUGUAAUUUGGUGAUGAUUUUUGCUAUUUAGGUAUUUUCCUCCCUAGUAACACAAAAUCUUGCUUACCCAACUCCCAAAGUCCAUCUCACUAGUAAGCUCCUCAGCCUCUGUUCUUGUGCCCAGUAAGUGCUCCUCGUUACCAGGUCCACAUAAUUAAUGCUUUAUCACAUGAGGUGAUUCAGUUACUCAGCAAAACAAAAUGAUGUACACUUUUAGAAAUAGCUCUAGAAAGUAAAUUUGAACCUAAAGUGUUCAGUUGAGAGGAAAUUUCUGUUUGUUCUUAAUUAAGAGAAACUGUAUGGAAAUGUAAGCUAAGGAUGCAUUAAUCAGAGAAGUUGGCAUUACAUUGUGUUAUUCAUUUUUAUUUGGCAUAGAUUGCAUGGGUACUCAUUAAAUAAUUUGUAUGGCUGAAAUAACUCUAGUGAUAUUUCUUGCUAAAUUUUUGCAUCUGUUCAGACUAAAACUCAGGAAAGUUAAAAAAAAAAAUUCAGUCCUUAGGUUUGAAAGUUUGACUCAUUUAUUAUAAGUGAAAAUCUUUAUUGUGGAAAUAUAUAUGCCUCAAAAUGUUUGCUUGCUUCAUUUUGGGGGAAGAAAUGUGUGAGAGUAGGUAAAUUGUUAAUGAAAAAUUAUUAAUCAAAUAGCAGAUUUAUAUCUGGUGAAUAGAUACUUAUGCUUAAUGCUCUUCAAUUUUAACAGCUUUGCCUCAGCCCACCUUAUCUGUGACCUUAUCAACUUUGAUAUUAUUGUUUUUUUUUUUAACUUUGAUAUUGUUUUACAAACAAAUAGUAGAAGGAGAAAGUUUGCAUAUUUAGAAGUUUGGUAGUUGAUUCCCUUUGUGGGUAAAUGCACAUCUCAGGGGGAACCUGAUCUGUAUAGAUAGCCUAUUUGGAUCAAGGGCAAGGAAAAGGAAUUUCCUUUACCCAUUUAUAUUUUUUGGUUUAUAUAGGUCAAACUAGAUUUCUUGGACCUACUAAAUUUAUGUGGUGUACACAUGGCUGUAGGUUUGGUCUGGGCUCUGUAAUAUUUGUAAUUAUGUGAGAUGACAAGAUUGAAUUAACUUAAUUGUAGAGUUUUACAUAGUGUUUGUACCAAAUCCUAAUAAAAUAAUGUGAAAUUCAAUGAGUAAUGCCAAGUGGGACAGUGCUCUACUCACAUAAGCUUACUAAACUUGAUAUAUUCUUAUGGCGCUUCUCCAGAAUGCAGAAGAAACACAUUUAUCUAGGUGAUUAGUAUUCUUUCUGUCUGCCAGAUUUAAGGAUUGUUUGGAAAUAUUGUUAGAAUCAAAAUCAACGUUUGUUGCUACACAGGGUUGGGCAUUCCAGGCAAACUCUGGUCGUUUUUAAUGGUCUUAUUCUUAUGUCCACUCAUUUUAUGUCUGCCAUGACACUGAUGUUUUCAGUAACACAGAGCUGCUAUCAAAAGAGUGAUACACUUUUAAGUGAAGUAUUUGGGAAAGUAAUAAAGUCAUUUCUGGUCCCAUCUCAAAGGAUAUUAUUGAAAAUGUCUUUAAAAGUGAUCAGGGUAACACAUACUAGGCCCUCUCCAGUUCCGGUGUUUGAAGUUAACAACCUGCAGUUCAAGCCCAUUUCAAGCAGAAAAGUGGCUCUCCCACAAUUCCUCCUCCCCCUUUUUUGAACCACAGACAUUUUUAUUUUAUUUACUUAUUUAUUUUUAAGUUGAAGUAUAGUUGACAUACAAUACUAUAGUACCUUCUGAUGUAGUGAUUUGACAAUUAUGUUCGUGACAAAAUGCUCACACAAACUACUCUUUAAAUACUGUAGCUGGUUCUAAAUUUAAGGAAAAAUGAAAAUAUUGGGAAAUCAUAGUCAAAAUAGUUCAAAAGAAGUUCAGAAUAGUCAAAAUAGUCAAAAUAGUCAAAAGAAGUUCAGGACAGAAGAUGCUUUUAUGGUUGGUAACUGCCCAAAUCGGUUUUAACUUGAACAUGGCAAUGCUUUGCAUUUUAUGAUGGCUAAUUCGUGCCAUCUAUUAGCCAUAAUGCCAGCUCCUGUUUUGUUUUUUUUUUUUAAAUCUCAAAUACAUUUACAGUAAAUAUAUUAACAAAUUGUGAGGUCUUAGGUUGACCUCCUGGACAUUAGGAAAUCAAAUUUAAAGCAUUGCAUUGUCUGUUACUCAAUGGAGUGGACUGAGUACAGCGUGUGACUUGUGUUCUGCCGAUGAUGCAAUAAGCUAAUAUUGUAGUGUGAGUUAAGGUUGAUUAGAUGAUCAUCUUUAACUCUGUUUUCUCCAGGGGUUUUUGAACGCUCGUGUUUUCAGGUGAUAGUCUAUGCCCCUAUUAUAUUGCUCUUUUAAAAAAAGUAUUCUCUUUUGGGCAAGAAAACAUAGGCUCUCUUCGGAUUCUGGAUGGAAAUUAGCAACCUUAUGCUCAGAAUGUAAAAGUAUACUGUGUUAUCAUAAACUGACUCUCUUCAAAAAAAAAAAAAAUUCUAGGGAGUAAAAUACAUGCGCAAGAUACCAGAAAUUGAUUUACAGAGUUAUAGCUAUUUUUUUUUUUAACUUUCUUAAAAGUUUUUGUCCUGGAAUUAAUUUUCAGUGAAAACUAAGACAUUUUUCUUCUCAUCUGGAAUCAGUUUUUACCUCAUUAGCAGGAAAUGGUGAAUAUACAUUAAGCACAAAUAAAGUUCACUUUAUGAGGCAAAGAAUUUGCACUCGGAACGACACAGAGUUGAUGGAGUUCUCUUUUGUCAUGAGGAGGGAGAACGUGCAAAAGGCAGAGAAGGCCAGAGGCAGAGAGAGAAUCUUAAACAGGUUCCAUGCUCAGCAUGGAGUCUGAUGUGGAGCUCACUGUGGGGCUCAAUCCCACAAGCCUGGGACCAUGACCUGAGCUGAUACCAAGAGUCAGAUGCUUAACUGACUGAACCACCCAGGUGCCCCAUCACACAACUUGAUUUUAAAGGACAGUUUCUUUGCAAGUGAAAUAUAUCUAUGGAAAGAAAAGCAGUCAUAUUUUCUUAUCUGAAGUGACUAGUUCUUUGCUGUAUUUCCAUUAGGGCUAUUUUCCAAGGGGAGUUUCAAAAUAUUGAAUAUGUUAAAGAUUUCUAAUAAAGCUAGGAAUUUUGAGAAAAAUUCAGAGUGCAGCCAUAACUUCCUUCAAACUAUCUCUUAGAGGAGCCCCCGUUCAAGUUAGAAUCUUGGCUUGAUGGACAAGGGAAUUGACCCAGUGCAAUGGUUCUCGCAUUGUUAUGAUGAACUUUCCUUGACUCGUCUCCUCAAAAAGUCAAAGUCAGUGUCUUUGAUUGCUUCAAACACGAUUGUCUUGUCUCACUAGCUUAGACUUUAAGCUUUUCUUAUGCUCCCAGAAUGACUUCUUUGGUAAUUACUUCUACUUUUUAUUA